UCCGGUUGAUCCUGCCGGACCCGACCGGUAUCGGGGUGGGGCUAAGCCAUGCAAGUCGAGCGUUCUCUAGCUGUGGAGAGCGCGGCGCACGGCUCAGUAGUACGCAGCUAACCUACCCUAAGGAGGGGGAUAAUCCCGGGAAACUGGGGCUAAUACCCUAUAAACCUCGGAGGCUGGAAGGCGCCGAGGUUAAAAAGAUCAUUUCAGCAUGCUGGAGUGGUCGCCUUAGGAUGGGGUUGCGCCCGAUCAGGUAGUUGGCGGGGUAAAGGCCCACCAAGCCUAUGACCGGUGCGGGCUCUGAGAGGAGGAGCCCGGAGAUGGAUCCUGAGACAAGGAUCCAGGCCCUACGGGGCGCAGCAGGCGCGAAACCUUCACAAUGCCCGAAAGGGUGAUGAGGCUACCCCGAGUGCUAUUCGCAGAGGAUAGCUUUUGUCAGGUCUAAAAAGCCUGGCGAAUAAGGGGAGGGCAAGACUGGUGUCAGCCGCCGCGGUAAUACCAGCUCCCCGACUGGUCGGGAUGAUUAUUGGGCCUAAAGCGUCCGUAGCCGGUUCUUUGUGUGAUUCGUUAAAUCCAGCGGCUCAACCGCUGGACUGCGAAUCAUACUAAAGGGCUAGGGGGCGGGAGAGGCCAAGGGUACUCCGCGGGUAGGGGUAAAAUCCGCUGAUCCGCGGAAGACCAACAGUGGCGAAGGCGUUUGGCCAGAACGCGCCCGACGGUGAGGGACGAAAGCUAGGGGAGCGAACCGGAUUAGAUACCCGGGUAGUCCUAGCCGUAAACGAUGCUCGCUAGGUCUUGGAAGAACUUCGUGUUCUGUCAGGGCCGCAGGGAAGCCGUUAAGCGAGCCGCCUGGGGAGUACGGCUGCAAGGCUGAAACUUAAAGGAAUUGGCGGGGGAGCACCACAAGGGGUGAAGCCUGCGGUUUAAUUGGAGUCAACGCCGGG
rnacentral:rRNA from 1 species